GGCGGGACUGCGCGGAGGCGACUGCAGACGUAUCGGGGGUCCGGAGCCUGUCGCGGCUGCUAAGCGCUCGGCGCCUGGCGCUGGCGCUGGCCAAGGCUUGGCCAACAGUGUUGCAAACAGGAACCCGAGGUGUUCACUUCACUGUUGAAGGAACGAGAGGGCAUCUGCUAAAGUUUCAGAUUCCAUUUCUGCUCAGUAUCCAGUAGUGGAUCAUGAAUUUGAUGCAGUGGUGGUAGGCGCUGGAGGGGCAGGCUUUGCGAGCUGCAUUUGGCCUUUCCGAGGCAGAGUUUGAUACAGCAUGUGUUACCAAGCUGUUUCCUACCAGGUCACACACUGUUGCAGCGCAGGUUGGAAUCAAUGCUGCUCUGGGGAACAUGGAGGAGGACAACUGGAGGUGGCAUUUCUAUGACACCGUGAAGGGCUCCGACUGGCUGGGGGACCAGGAUGCCAUCCACUACGUGACGGAGCAGGCCCCCACUGCCAUGGUCGAGCUAGAAAAUUAUGGCAUGCCGUUUAGCAGAACUGAAGAUGGGAAGAUUUAUCAGCGUGCAUUUGGUGGACAGAGCCUCAAGUUUGGAAAGGGCAGGCAGGCCCAUCGGUGCUGCUGUGUGGCUGAUCGGACCGGCCACUCAAUAUUGCACACCUCAUAUGGGAGGUCUCUGAGAUAUGAUACCAGCUGUUUUGUGGAGUAUUUUGCCUUGGAUCUCCUGAUAGAGAACAGGGAGUGCCGUGGUGUCAUUGCACUGUGCAUAGAGGACGGGUCCAUCCAUCACAUAAGAGCAAAGAACACUGUUGUUGCCACAGGAGUCAAGAAACUUUUCUUUUGAGCUAUUGACAGCUUUUAACAAGUUAUUAUACUCCUAUGAACAAAAUUUGGAGCAUAUUUGUUUCUCUCUGCCUGAUUUCUCCUGAAUUUGGAAACUAUUUGUGAGUAUUCUUAACUUAUCGUAAUAUAGUUAUUUGCAUAAGUGCAAUAAUAAUCUGUUUUUAUUUGUAACAGGACACAAUUGAAGAAACUGGUUAUUCUACCAUGGCUUUGACUGGAAUGGUGUGCUUUCCUUUAAGGAAUUAAACUUGUUUUAUGAAGCCAGUAAAAGCCCCUUGGGAAAGCUGGCCAAAUACCCUGUCUACACAGUCCCUGAACAGGGUUCCUGAUCUGUGGUAAAUAAAGAAUGUCACUUUCUGACAGGCCCAGGAGCCCCAAGUUUUACCUCGGGACCUCAAAAGGAGAGGAAUUCAUGCAACUCAUAGGUAUUUGAUGGUACAAAUCCAUGGCAGGGCUCAGCUUUAAACAAGUCUUUUCUGAGAUUCCUUCUAUGGAAUAAAGUUCCAUCAAAGUCAAUUUAAAAGCCUGUGUAAAAAAAUAAUUAUUCUUGCUGCACUGUAUACAAAUAAUCAGGCCAAGUAUAAUAAAGGAAAUCAGUCGUACCAUGAUUUGUCUUUAGUAAAAAUGAGAAACUGGAGAGAGAAAAACUAUGUUUUAAAAACUAUAGUACACCUGUUGUUAGAUUCUAGUCUUGCCCAAUGUUUUUCAAUUUUUAUUAUUUUCUACAGUUUGGACCAAAUUCUAGUUUUUCUUGGCUACAAGUCUUCAAUAUAACGUUUUCAAUUUUUUCCCUUUCUUUUUUCUAUUUUUCCUAAUUUGGAGUCACUGAAAGCUAAGCUGUGCUUUGUGAAGCCCUGUGAACUGAAGCUAGACAACUUAAACUUCAGAAGAAAAUAACAGCAACCUGUUUACAUAUAUAAGCUACUUUCAUACCUGCCUACUGAUGUAUGGACUUCAGAGUAGUGUGGCCUAUAUCGAUUUUCUAGGAUCAUUAUUUUGUUUGUUGUUUUUCUCCCUUCCUCCACCUAUUUUCUCUUCAUAGGACAUGAGGAUUCUCAACCUGAUAAAAAUGAGCUUUCCUAAUAACUCAAGACCCAUCUGCCUAGGAAUAAACCAUCCCAGCUGUGAGAGACCAGACGAAACCUGAGACCAGAGACUCGUUUUCUUCUAAAAUGCUUUCUCCAAAAGAUUUUUAAACAGAAAAAGGGGGAAAUGUGAAAGGAAAAGAAAACUUGAGGCCCCCAAAAUCACUAAGCUAAAAGGAAAAGUCAAGCUGGGAAUGGCUUAGGGCAAACCUGCCUCCCAUUCUAUGCAAAGUCAUCCCUCCGUGCACUGAGAUAAAUGCUUAUCUAAUUGCCUCCUUUGGAGAGGCUCAUCAGAAACUCAAAAUAAUGCAACCAUUUGACUCUCACCUACCUGUGACCUGGAAGAUCCCUCUCUGCUUGAGUUGUCCUGCUUUUCUGGAUGGAACCAAUGUUCAUCUUACAUAUAUUGAUUGAUGUCUCAUGUCUCCCUAAAAUGUAUAAAACCAAGCUGUGCCCUGACCACCUUGGGCACAUGUCGUCAGGACCUCCUGAGGCUGUGCCACAGGCAUGCAGCCUCAACCUUGGCAAAAUAAACUUUCUAAAUUGACUGA
ensembl:lncRNA SDHAP4 SDHA pseudogene 4